rnacentral:rRNA from 1 species
UCGCGAACCAUUCACAAUGGACGCAAGUCUGAUGAUGCCACGCCGCGUGCGGGAUGAAGGCCCUUUGGGUUGUAAACCGCUGUCAAGGGAGGGGAAACACCUAGUGUUAACAGCGCUAGGCUUGACUGCUCCCUAAAGGAAGCCCCGGCAAAACAUGUGCCAGCAGCCGCGGUAAUCCAUGUGGGGCAAGCGUUGUUCGGAAUUACUGGGCAUAAAGGGUGCGUAGGCGGUUUGUUAAGUCACUGGUGAAAGUUUGCGGCCCAACCGUAAAAUUGCCUGUGAUACUGGCGAACUUGAGUGCGUGAGGGGUAGGGGGAACGAGCAGUGUAGCGGUGAAAUGCGUAGAUAUUGCUCGGAAGGCCGGAGCCGAAGGGGCCCUACUGGUACGUAACUGACGCUGAGGCACGAAAGCGUGGGGAGCAAACAGGAUUAGAUACCCCCGUAGUCCCUGAGCGGGCUGGCAAGGCGCAU